GACGAACGCUGGCGGCGUGCCUAAUACAUGCAAGUCGAGCGGACCGAAUGGAAGCUUGCUUCUGUUCGGUUAGCGGCGGACGGGUGAGUAACACGUGGGUAACCUGCCCGUAAGACCGGGAUAACUCCGGGAAACCGGGGCUAAUACCGGAUAACACCGAAGACCGCAUGGUCUUUGGUUGAAAGGUGGCUUUUGCUACCACCUACGGAUGGGCCCGGGGCGCAUUAGCUAGUUGGUGAGGUAACGGCUCACCAAGGCGACGAUGCGUAGCCGGCCUGAGAGGGUGACCGGCCACACUGGGACUGAGACACGGCCCAGACUCCUACGGGAGGCAGCAGUAGGGAAUCUUCCGCAAUGGACGAAAGUCUGACGGAGCGACGCCGCGUGAGCGAAGAAGGUCUUCGGAUCGUAAAGCUCUGUUGUUAGGGAAGAAGAAGUACCGUUCGAAUAGGGCGGUACGGUGACGGUACCUAACGAGAAAGCCCCGGCUAACUACGUGCCAGCAGCCGCCGUAAUAC
rnacentral:rRNA from 1 species